AUCAUAUCCCGUACGAUCACCGAAGUUAAGCAACGUCGGGCUUGUUGAGUACCUAGAUGGGUAACCGCUUGGGAAUACCAGGUGCUGUAAG
rnacentral:rRNA from 1 species